UGAAAAAUGCAGCUGCAAGCUCCUUUAUU
rnacentral:piRNA from 1 species